AAGCCCCGGCACCUUCUCUGUGCUCUUUCAAAUUUGCAUUUUGCUGUGCUUUACACCUCCUGGGCUU
rnacentral:tRNA from 1 species